rnacentral:misc_RNA from 1 species
AAGUCGUAACAAGGUUUCCGUAGGUGAACCUGCGGAAGGAUCAUUACAGAAUACGGGCUCCGGCCCCUUUCUAACCCUUGAAUAUUCUCCUGUUGCUUCGGCGCUGCGGCGCCGGCGCCAUUAAACUCAGAAACUUUGUGUCUGACGAUAUUUAAUAAAUCAAAACUUUCAACAACGGAUCUCUUGGUUCCC